rnacentral:rRNA from 1 species
GAUGAACGCUGGCGGCGUGCCUAAUACAUGCAAGUCGAGCGAACAGACGAGGAGCUUGCUCCUCUGACGUUAGCGGCGGACGGGUGAGUAACACGUGGAUAACCUACCUAUAAGACUGGGAUAACUUCGGGAAACCGGAGCUAAUACCGGAUAAUAUAUUGAACCGCAUGGUUCAAUAGUGAAAGACGGUUUUGCUGUCACUUAUAGAUGGAUCCACGCCGCAUUAGCUAGUUGGUAAGGUAACGGCUUACCAAGGCGACGAUGCGUAGCCGACCUGAGAGGGUGAUCGGCCACACUGGAACUGAGACACGGUCCAGACUCCUACGGGAGGCAGCAGUAGGGAAUCUUCCGCAAUGGGCGAAAACCUGACGGAGCAACGCCGCGUGAGUGAUGAAGGUCUUCGGAUCGUAAAACUCUGUUAUUAGGGAAGAACAAAUGUGUAAGUAACUAUGCACGUCUUGACGGUACCUAAUCAGAAAGCCACGGCUAACUACGUG